GCCGGCGGUGUGCCUAAUACAUGCAGUCGAGCGCACUGGCCCAACUGAUAUGACGUGCUUGCACUGAAUUGACGUUGGAUUACCAGUGAGCGGCGGACGGGUGAGUAACACGUGGGCAACCUGCCCUGAAGCGGGGGAUAACAUCUGGAAACAGGUGCUAAUACCGCAUAACAACGAAAACCACAUGGUUUUCGUUUCAAAGAUGGUUUCGGCUAUCACUUCAGGAUGGGCCCGCGGUGCAUUAGCUAGUUGGUAAGGUAACGGCUUACCAAGGCAAUGAUGCAUAGCCGAGUUGAGAGACUGAUCGGCCACAAUGGAACUGAGACACGGUCCAUACUCCUACGGGAGGCAGCAGUAGGGAAUCUUCCACAAUGGGCGCAAGCCUGAUGGAGCAACACCGCGUGAGUGAAGAAGGGUUUCGGCUCGUAAAGCUCUGUUGUUGGAGAAGAACGUGCGUGAGAGUAACUGUUCACGCAGUGACGGUAUCCAACCAGAAAGUCACGGCUAACUACGUGCCAGCAGCCGCGGUAAUACGUAGGUGGCAAGCGUUAUCCGGAUUUAUUGGGCGUAAAGCGAGCGCAGGCGGUUGCUUAGGUCUGAUGUGAAAGCCUUCGGCUUAACCGAAGAAGGGCAUCGGAAACCGGGCGACUUGAGUGCAGAAGAGGACAGUGGAACUCCAUGUGUAGCGGUGGAAUGCGUAGAUAUAUGGAAGAACACCAGUGGCGAAGGCGGCUGUCUGGUCUGCAACUGACGCUGAGGCUCGAAAGCAUGGGUAGCGAACAGGAUUAGAUACCCUGGUAGUCCAUGCCGUAAACGAUGAGUGCUAGGUGUUGGGAGGGUUUCCGCCCUUCAGUGCCGGAGCUAACGCAUUAAGCACUCCGCCUGGGGAGUACGACCGCAAGGUUGAAACUCAAAGAAUUUGACGGGGGCCCGCACAAGCGGUGGAGCAUGUGGUUUAAUUCGAAGCUACGCGA
rnacentral:rRNA from 1 species